GGAUAGCUCAGUUGGUUAGAGUGUGGUGCUAAUAGCACCAAGGUUGCAGGUUCGAUCCCUGUAAUAGACA